GAUGAACGCUCGCUACAGGCUUAACACAUGCAAGUCGAGGGGAAACGGCAUUGAGUGCUUGCACUCUUUGGACGUCGACCGGCGCACGGGUGAGUAACGCGUAUCCAACCUUCCCAUUACUGUGGGAUAACCUGCCGAAAGGCAGACUAGUACCGCAUAGUCUUCGAUGACGGCAUCAGAUUUGAAGUAAAGAUUUAUCGGUAAUGGAUGGGGAUGCGUCUGAUUAGCUUGUUGGCGGGGUAACGGCCCACCAAGGCUACGAUCAGUAGGGGUUCUGAGAGGAAGGCCCCCCACAUUGGAACUGAGACACGGUCCAAACUCCUACGGGAGGCAGCAGUGAGGAAUAUUGGUCAAUGGACGGAAGUCUGAACCAGCCAAGUAGCGUGCAGGAUGACGGCCCUAUGGGUUGUAAACUGCUUUUGUAUGGGGAUAAAGUUAGGGACGUGUCCCUAUUUGCAGGUACCAUACGAAUAAGGACCGGCUAAUUCCGUG
rnacentral:rRNA from 1 species